rnacentral:tRNA from 1 species
UGGGUUGUGGCUCAGCGGUAGAGCACUCGCCUAGCAUGUGUGAGGCCCUGGGUUUGAUUCUCAGCACCACAU